UUAUGCAUGUAUGUAGAUAUGUGUAUUUCCACUGACAUGUAAUUACAGAACAGUGUGGGAGAACUUCUAUAGAACAUAUUGGUCCUCUCAGUAAACAUAGAAAGGCUUAAUUCUCUGACUAGAUGAAAAAAAAAUUUUUCAGAUUGGCUAACAAGCAAAAUCCAACUCUGCGGUAUGUAAGAAACACAACUAAAGCAAACUGUAUCACAGAGGUUAAAAAUAAAAGAAUGAUCUUUAUGUUCUCAUGCUAGACCAAUACUUGGCCUUUAGCAAUGCAUUAAAAAAUGUUUAAAUCUUCUUACCAAUUGAUAUGUCAUUUAGCAGUGUCCUGGCCCACAAGCGCCGCACGCAGCCCCGGUUCCCGCUCGCGCCUCUCCCUCCACACCUCCCUGCAAGCUGAG
rnacentral:lncRNA from 1 species